AGCAGCCGCCGCGGGAAUACGUAGGGGGCGAGCGUUGUCCGAAGUUACUGGGCGUAAAGCGCGCGUAUGCGGCUUCUUAAGUCUGAGGUGAAAGGUUCAACGCUUAACGUGAACAGUGCCUUGGAUACUGGGGAGCUUGAGUAUGGGAGAGGGCAGUGGAAUGGCUGGUGUAGCGGUGAAAUGCGUAGAUAUCAGUCGGAACACCCAUGGCGAAGGCAGCUGCCUGGCCUAAUACUGACGCUGAGGUGCGAAAGCGUGGGGAGCGAACGGGAUUAGAUACCCGCGUAGUCCCUGUCUCUUAUA
rnacentral:rRNA from 1 species